AUUGGUCAGAAGUACUGGUAACGUUAGGGAGAAAUGACCAAUCAGAGCACAGACUGAAGCAAAUUCAAGAUGGCUGCUGGCGUGUGUUCGGGCAAGGAGGGAUAUAGUUGGUGCAACUGCAGAUGGAAAGAGAAGCCAGUCCAAGUCAUUUAAAGGUCCUCAAAGUGCUGGGACAAGACAUCCCUUUUACAAGGUCAAUCAAUCAAUCAAGUUGUACACAGGUGCCUGUUGAUUGAUGGAGUGAGCAGGUUCCUUGAGAGGAGAAAAGAAGACUAAGGGCUGGAUCUUUAUUCGAGGCCUUCUCAUGCAUGAGCAUACCACAGGCACACCAGGCCAGCCACUCCAGGUGUAUGGAGAUCAAGGCGAUCAAGGAGGUGCACCUAUCUACAGUAUGCUCAACAGUGCCUACGAGAUUUUAAUGGCCAGAUCACUGCAAAGCAGAUCCGCCAUCUAGCUGCCAACGGAAGAAACUUACGUAGAUGACACACAUCAGCUGAAUGGAGAGAACCAGCCUUCACUUCCAUCAGCAGAAGGUGACAAAUCGCAGCUGAAGGGAGAGAACAAGCCUUCACUUCCAUCAGCAGAAGGUGACACACAGCAGCUGAAGGGAGAGA